rnacentral:rRNA from 1 species
UACGUAGGUGGCAAGCGUUGUCCGGAUUUAUUGGGUUUAAAGGGUGCGUAGGCGGCUAAUUAAGUCAGUGGUGAAAUACCCCAGCUCAACUGGGGAUGUGCCAUUGAUACUGGAUAGCUUGAGUACAGGCGAGGUAUGCGGAAUUGACGGUGUAGCGGUGAAAUGCUUAGAUAUCGUCAAGAACACCGAUAGCGAAGGCAGCAUACCAGACUGAAACUGACGCUGAGGCACGAAAGUGUGGGGAUCAAACAGG